rnacentral:rRNA from 1 species
AUUGAACGCUGGCGGCAUGCCUUACACAUGCAAGUCGAACGGGCUUUGGGGCUUGCUCCAAGGUUAGUGGCGAACGGGUGAGUAAUAUAUCGGAACGUACCCUAGAGUGGGGGAUAACUAGUCGAAAGGCUGGCUAAUACCGCAUACGAUCCAAGGAUGAAAGUGGGGGACCUUCGGGCCUCAUGCUCAUGGAGCGGCCGAUAUCUGAUUAGCUAGUUGGUGGGGUAAAAGCCUACCAAGGCGACGAUCAGUAGCUGGUCUGAGAGGACGAUCAGCCACACUGGGACUGAGACACGGCCCAGACUCCUACGGGAGGCAGCAGUGGGGAAUUUUGGACAAUGGGCGAAAGCCUGAUCCAGCAAUGCCGCGUGAGUGAAGAAGGCCUUCGGGUUGUAAAGCUCUUUUGUCAGGGAAGAAACGGUGGGGGCUAAUAUCCUCUGCUAAUGACGGUACCUGAAGAAUAAGCACCGGCUAACUACGUGCCAGCCGCCGCAGUAA